rnacentral:rRNA from 1 species
GAUUUUAAUGAUCGAACAGAUCAAAAUUUUAAACUUUUGCAUUUAAAUUUUAUCUUAAUCCAACAUCGAGGUCGCAAACUUUUUUUUUUAUUUGAACUAAAAAAAAAUAUUACGCUGUUAUCCCUAAGGUAAUUUUUUCUUAUAAUCAUUAUUAAUGGAUCAUUUAAUCAUUUAUUUAUGUUUAAUUUUUAAAAAAAGUUAAUUUAAUUUUUCUAUCACCCCAAUAUAAUAAUUAAUUUUAUUUUAAUAAAAAUUUUUAUAUAAUUUUAAAAUAAAAAUAAAUAUAAAACUCUAUAGGGUCUUCUCGUCUUUUAAAAUUAAUUUAGCUUUUUAACUAAAAAAUAAACUUCUAAAAAUAAAUAAGAGACAGUUUAUAUUUCAUCAAAUCUUUCAUACAAGUUUUCAAUUAAAAAACUAUUGAUUAUGCUACCUUUGUACAGUCAUUAUACUGCAGCCCUUUAAUUAUUAUCAGUGGGCAGAUUAGACCUUAAAUUAUAUUCAA